rnacentral:tRNA from 1 species
GCGUAGGUGGCGGAGUGGUCUAUCGCAAUGGACUGUAAAUCCAUCGUCCUAACGGGCAUCGCAGGUUCGAAUCCUGCCCUACGCA